GCUGAACGCUGGCGGCGUGCUUAACACAUGCCAGUCGAACGGUGAAGCAGAGCUUGCUCUGUGGAUCAGUGGCGAACGGGUGUGUAACUCGUGAGCAACCUGCCCCUGACUCCGGGCUACGCGCUGGACACGGCGUCUCAUACUGGAUAUGAGCUGCGACCGCAUGGUCAGCCGUUGGUAAGCUUUUCCGGUCUGGGAUGGACUCACGUCCUAUCAGCUUGUUGGUGAGGUUAUGGCUCACCAAGGCGUCGACGGGUAGCCGGCCUGAGAUGGUGACCGGCCACGCUGGAGCUGAGCCACGUCCCAUGCACCAGCGGGAAGCAGCAGUGAGGAAUAUUGAGCAAUGGGCGGAAGCCGGUUGCAGCAACGCCACGUGAGGGAGCACGGCCUUCCUGGAGUAGCCCUCAACUAACAGGGAAGAAGUGAAAGGGACGAUACCUGCGGAAAAAGGUCCGGCUAACUACGUG
rnacentral:rRNA from 1 species